GACGGAGGAUGCAAGCGUUAUCCGGAAUGAUUGGGCGUAAAGCGUCCGCAGGUGGCAGUUCAAGUCUGCUGUCAAAGACCGGGGCUUAACUUCGGAAAGGCAGUGGAAACUGAACAGCUAGAGUAUGGUAGGGGCAGAGGGAAUUCCUGGUGUAGCGGUGAAAUGCGUAGAGAUCGGGAGGAAUACCGGUGGCGAAAGCGACUCUCUGGACGGCAACUGACGCUGAGGCACGAAAGCGUGGGGAGCAAACAGG
rnacentral:rRNA from 1 species